UUGGUGCAGACUGUAACAAGCAAUCAAUAGCAAUGAUGAUAGGCUUCAUCUUAUCGAAGUCUUUAGAGAGGCAAUGUUGUGAAUAAUGGCUCAUUUUCUCUACUGCCUCGAUAGAUGGCCCCAGUCCAUGCAGCUCUGUCUCCUUCCGUCCUACAGCUCAUUCUAAUCUUUUCCUCUUAUUGAUUCCUCCCAUGAGGCUGUGGAGCCUAUCAAGCAGCGUCAGGGUCGAUAUGACGGCCACCAAGAAGACAGAGGACACUGAAAAUCUGACCAGCUAUACGACAGAUAAUUCAUGCAGCUAUCACACGGCGGUAUUGUUGUUUCAAACCGCGAGCCCUUUUCUACAGUGUGUCUUUGUUUGCAUGGAGGGCAGGAUAAAAAUGAGUCAUCCUUUCUUAGUUUACAGAUAUCAACAUUUUCCACAUGAAUUCUACAUUUUAUGGGAAUAAUCUACAAGUAACUGGAUCCCACCAUAACUCACCCACACAAACCAUUCCAGGACUUACUGGAUGUUGGUACUCAAAG